CCUACGGGUGGCAGCAGUGGGGAAUAUUGCACAAUGGGGGGAACCCUGAUGCAGCGACGCCGCGUGGGUGAAGGCGUACUUCGGUACGUAAAGCCCUAUCAGCAGGAAAGUAAAUGACGGUACCUGCAACGGAAGCACCGUCUAACUCCGUGCCAGCAGCCGCGGUAAUACGGAGGGUGCGGGCGUUAUUCGGAAUUACUGGGCGUAAAGCGGUCGUAGGCGGUAUGUCAAGUCAAGGGUGAAAUCCCCGGGCUCAACGUGGGAACUGCCUUUGAAACUGGCAAACUGGAGUGUGUUAGAGGAAAGCGGAAUUCGUGGUGUAGGAGUGAAAUCCGUAGAUAUCAGGAGGAACAUCAGUGGCGAAGGCGACUAUCUGGCACAUAACUGACGCUGAGGAGCGAAAGCGUGGGUAGCAAACAGGAUUAGAUACCCCUGUAGUC
rnacentral:rRNA from 1 species